rnacentral:lncRNA from 1 species
AUAUACCCAAAAGAAAUUAAAUCACUCUACAAAAAGACACCGGCAUGUUCUCACUUAUAAGUGGGAGCUAAACAUUGAGUACACAUGAACAUAAAGAUGAAAUAUAUUUCAGUAGGUAAAAUAUUCUAAUUUUGUAAUAUACUGCAAAAGGAUACACAGUGAGAAAUCUUCCUCUUUUAUUUUAUUUGUUUGUUUUUUUUUUUUUUUUUUGAGAUGGAGUUUUGCUCUUGUUGCCCAGGCUGGAGUGCAAUGGCGCCAUCUCGGCUCACUGCAACCUCCACCUCCCAGGUUCAAGNNNNNNNNNNCCUCCCAGGUUCAAGUGAUUCUCCUGCCUCAGACUCCCAAGCAGCUGGGAUUACAGGCAUGCACCACCAUGCCCAGCUAAUUUUGUAUUUUUAGUAGAGA